CCUGCCAGGCAGGAUGGCCGGCUCCUCCAUGAACGGCUCAUAAAAAUUCACCUCGUUCAUCUUGAGGGAGAGAUGUUUGGCUACCUAAAACAUACAGCGUGCCAGGAUUUCAUUAUGUUUAGCAGUAGCCAAUGAGGCGGAUGUCUUCCUCCAUUCGCUCGAAGGCUCGCAGCUCCAUGGCGUUGUUGAUCAUUUCCACUGGAUCCUCCAGUACCUAAGGGGGUUGAUAGAAUACAGGAACUCCACCAGUGUGUCUGAUGAGAGCUCCCCAUCAAACUCAAUGACGCGGUCGUCCUUGAAGACGUACAAGCUGCCCACCUCUUCCAGACCUGAUUAAACAGCAGGAGUACAGUGUGUAACUUUAAGAGCUCUAAUCUGAGGCAUGCAGAGCAAUGUAAGUGAUGCUUUGUAGUGAUGAAGACACAUGAGUCAUACCCAGUUUUCUGGCUACUUUUGCGCCCUUUUGGGAGUCCACCAUUCCAAAACCGAUGUCUUUGUUCUCCAGGACCUGAGCUGUGAGCUGGGUGUUCACACAGACAAAUGUUAGAUGGCAUGAGCCAGAAAUGUAGGUGUUGUCUUGGACUAAAAUCUAAACUCAAGCAGCCUAAUGUAAUCAGUUUUUUCAUCAAAGACAAAAUGUUUGUUAGCCACUGCUGUUGAUUUCCAGGAAAUUAUGAUUUUUUGAGUCCAUUGCUCAGCGUGGGAUCGAAACACUUUAUGCCAACACCCUCUACUCUGCUCUCUGCAUUUAGCUUAGCGCUGUUUUCUGUAUUUGAGCUGGCAUCCACAGCUGCUGCUGUCUUUGUCAAUACAUCUUUUCAUUACCGAGGUGUGUGCCCCCUGUGGAGUCUUCUUGUUAGAGGGAAGCCGUGAGUCAGGACUGCUUGCCUUUCAGCUCAUGGUUCUUGUGGAAGGAAAACAGAUUUAGAAAUACCAGACAAGACUUGGGUUCUGUUAAACCAAGUGUGUUUCUGCUUUUAAAACGGUGCAUGAAACACGACAGGAAUGCAAAAGCGCAAAAGGAAGUAAAGGUGGUGAAUACCAACAAAUUCAAGGUGUGAAGACUCCCCUUUUCUCAUACGUUUGGCUAAUAAAUAAGAGGGAAAAGGGUGCAGGAGGAGUACACCCAUUUAUUUCUAGUUCACAGCCAGAUAGUAAAGAGUUUUGGGAGUGAGCUAAAUUUAACAGAAUGGCCUAGAAACAAUCCCUGGAUGCUUGUGAACCACAGAGGGAGGCAGUAAUAGGAUUAGAAUCAUUGUUUGCCAGCUAAGAGUGCAUGCAGGUAAAGCAGAGCUGCCCAUCAAGCUGUUACAGUGUGACAGCCAUGAAUCCUACUUCACCUUAUGGUUAAGCAGACAGUUUGCACAUCAAGGAGACAGAGGAGGAAUGAGGCAUUCAGUGUGUCGGGGAUCACUGACGAUGACUUGUUAUGACAGGUUAGAGUCAAAAGAACACGGCGGUGAAGCUGUGGGUUUAACCCGGAGCGAUUUGAGCUGCAGCUUAUUGAGACAUCUUUACGUUAUCAGUGACAUCAGAUAUACCACAGCCCCUUAUAUCACAAUAGAUACGACUCUGGCUUUUUUUCUUUCAUCCGUAAUGAUGGCAUUGGCAGGACUCAGGCAUUGUGUACCCGAGGAUGUCAGUGGCAAUGUGACUGGAAAAGUAAAGACUUGUAUGUUUAUGGAGUUAUUGUGUUGAUUUUUUGGUAACUGGUCAGUUGUUUAUGCUGUUUAGCAGGGAGCAAGAGUCUACAGCUUUGUGAGGCUGCACAGCUGUGCUUUGAACUAAAUGCUAAUAUGCUCACAAUGCAGAGGUUUAGCAGGCAGAUUUACCACGUUCACUGUGUUGGAUUAGCAUGCAAACAUGUCCCAAUGAGGGCUAAACACAGAGCACAGCUGAGGCUGAUGGGGACGUCAUUAGUUUUGCGAGCUGAAAUGAUUAAAAUGUUUAUAAUUAAUCAGCAAUUAGUUGGAUCUAAGAUGCCACCAGCUUCUUCAGUGUGAGAAUUUGCUGCUUUUUUUGUUUUAUAUCAUUUUCUACUCAUAUCAUUUUUAAUUUGUAAACUGUUGCUCUUCUUUGUCACACGGUGUGUGUAAAAAAUUGAAUAUCUUAAUUAUUUAAUAGUCAUGAAUAAAG